UACGUAGGGUCCGAGCGUUGUCCGGAAUUACUGGGCGUAAAGGGCUCGUAGGCGGUUUGUCGCGUUGGUCGUGAAAUCUCACAGCUCAACUGUGGGCGUGCGGGCGAUACGGGCAGGCUAGAGUACUGCAGGGGAGACUGGAAUUCCUGGUGUAGCGGUGGAAUGCGCAGAUAUCAGGAGGAACACCGGUGGCGAAGGCGGGUCUCUGGGCAGUAACUGACGCUGAGGAGCGAAAGCGUGGGGAGCGAACAGG
rnacentral:rRNA from 1 species